CAGUCGCCACGCGGUAAUACGGAGGGUGCAAGCGUUACUCGGAAUUACUGGGCGUAAAGCGUGCGUAGGUGGUGGUUUAAGUCCGUUGUGAAAGCCCUGGGCUCAACCUGGGAAUUGCAGUGGAUACUGGGUCACUAGAGUGUGGUAGAGGAUAGUGGAAUUUCCGGUGUAGCAGUGAAAUGCGUAGAGAUCGGAAGGAACAUCUGUGGCGAAGGCGACUAUCUGGGCCAUCACUGACACUGAGGCACGAAAGCGUGGGGAGCAAACAGGAUUAGAUACCCCCGUAGUCCCUGUCUCUUAU
rnacentral:rRNA from 1 species